rnacentral:rRNA from 1 species
ACGACUGGGUUGAUAGGCCGGAUAUGGAAGCCCUGUAAGGGGUGGAGUUGACCGGUACUAAUAGGCCGAGGGCUUGUCCUCAGUUG